rfam:Vitrella brassicaformis CCMP3155 genome assembly, contig: scaffold380
GGAGAGAUGGCGGAGGUGGUCGAUCGUGUCUGACUUGAAAUCAGAAGAACUUUAACAGGUUCCGUGGGUUCGAAUCCCACUCUCUCCU